rnacentral:rRNA from 1 species
CGCAUGGUAGGAGAGCGUUCCGUAAGCCUGCGAAGGUGCGUUGAAAAGCGUGCUGGAGGUAUCGGAAGUGCGAAUGCUGACAUGAGUAGCGAUAAAGGGGGUGAAAGGCCCCCUCGCCGUAAGCCCAAGGUUUCCUACGCAACGUUCAUCGGCGUAGGGUGAGUCGGCCCCUAAGGCGAGGCAGAAAUGCGUAGCUGAUGGGAAGCAGGUCAAUAUUCCUGCACCAUUGUUAGAUGCGAUGGGGGGACGGAUCGCGGAAGGUUGUCCGGGUGUUGGAAGUCCCGGUCGCUGCAUUGGAGAAGGCACUUAGGCAAAUCCGGGUGCGUAAUUCAAGGGUGUGGCGCGAGCUCCUUAGGGAGCGAAGCAAUUGGAAGUGGUUCCAAGAAAAGCCUCUAAGCUUCAGUCUAACGAUGACCGUACCGCAAACCGACACAGGUGGGCGAGAUGAGUAUUCUAAGGCGCUUGAGAGAACUCGGGAGAAGGAACUCGGCAAAUUGGUACCGUAACUUCGGGAUAAGGUACGCCCUUGUAGCUUGAUGCGCCUGCGCGCAGAGGGUGAAGGGGUUGCAAUAAACUGGUGGCUGCGACUGUUUAAUAAAAACACAGCACUCUGCAAACACGAAAGUGGACGUAUAGGGUGUGACGCCUGCCCGGUGCCGGAAGAUUAAAUGAUGGGGUGCAAGCUCUUGAUUGAAGUCCCGGUAAACGGCGGCCGUAACUAUAACGGUCCUAAGGUAGCGAAAUUCCUUGUCGGGUAAGUUCCGACCUGCACGAAUGGCGUAACGAUGGCCACACUGUCUCCUCCCGAGACUCAGCGAAGUUGAAGUGUUUGUGAUGAUGCAAUCUACCCGCGGCUAGACGGAAAGACCCCAUGAACCUUUACUGUAGCUUUGCAUUGGACUUUGAACCGAUCUGUGUAGGAUAGGUGGGAGGCUAUGAAACCGGAACGCUAGUUUCGGUGGAGCCGUCCUUGAAAUACCACCCUGGUUUGUUUGAGGUUCUAACCUUGGCCCGUGAUCCGGGUCGGGGACAGUGCAUGGUAGGCAGUUUGACUGGGGCGGUCUCCUCCCAAAGCGUAACGGAGGAGUACGAAGGUACGCUAGGUACGGUCGGAAAUCGUGCUGAUAGUGCAAUGGCAUAAGCGUGCUUAACUGCGAGACCGACAAGUCGAGCAGGUGCGAAAGCAGGUCAUAGUGAUCCGGUGGUUCUGUAUGGAAGGGCCAUCGCUCAACGGAUAAAAGGUACUCUGGGGAUAACAGGCUGAUACCGCCCAAGAGUUCAUAUCGACGGCGGUGUUUGGCACCUCGAUGUCGGCUCAUCUCAUCCUGGGGCUGUAGCCGGUCCCAAGGGUAUGGCUGUUCGCCAUUUAAAGAGGUACGUGAGCUGGGUUUAAAACGUCGUGAGACAGUUUGGUCCCUAUCUGCCGUGGGCGUUGGAUAUUUGAAGGGGGCUGCUCCUAGUACGAGAGGACCGGAGUGGACGAACCUCUGGUGUACCGGUUGUCACGCCAGUGGCAUCGCCGGGUAGCUAUGUUCGGAAGAGAUAACCGCUGAAAGCAUCUAAGCGGGAAACUCGCCUUAAGAUGAGAUAUCCCUGGGGACUAGAUCCCCUUGAAGGGUCGUUCGAGACCAGGACGUUGAUAGGUCAGGUGUGUAAGCGCAGUAAUGCGUUCAGCUAACUGAUACUAAUUGCCCGUAAGGCUUGAUCCU